UACAGAGGUCUCAAGCGUUGUUCGGAUUCAUUGGGCGUAAAGGGUGCGUAGGUGGCUUUGUAAGUCGGAGGUGAAAUCCCACGGCUCAACCGUGGACACGCCUUCGAAACUGUGAAGCUUGAGGCUGGGAGAGGAGAUCGGAAUUCCUGGUGUAGCGGUGAAAUGCGUAGAUAUCGGGAGGAACACCAGUGGCGAAGGCGACUACCUGGCCGUGUUCUUGACGCUGAGGCGCGAAAGCUAGGGGAGCAAACGGG
rnacentral:rRNA from 1 species